GUGCCAGCCGCCGCGGUAAUACGGAAGGUCCGGGCGUUAUCCGGAUUUAUUGGGUUUAAAGGGAGCGCAGGCGGACAGUUAAGCGUGACGUGAAAUGCAGCGGCUCAACCGUAUGAAGUGCGUCGCGAACUGGCAGUCUUGAGUGAGUACGAUGUAGGCGGAAUUCGUGGUGUAGCGGUGAAAUGCUUAGAUAUCACGAAGAACUCCGAUUGCGAAGGCAGCCUACAAGUCCUUUACUGACGCUAAAGCUCGAAGGUGCGGGUAUCGAACAGGAUUAGAUACCCUGGUAGUCCGCACGGUAAACGAUGGAUGCCCGCUGUUUGCGAUAUAGUGUGAGCGGCCAAGCGAAAGCGUUAAGCAUCCCACCUGGGGAGUACGCCGGCAACGGUGAAACUCAAAGGAAUUGACGGGGGCCCGCACAAGCGGAGGAACAUGUGGUUUAAUUCGAUGAUACGCGAGGAACCUUACCCGGGCUUGAACUGCAGCAGAACGAUUGAGUGAUCAUGAGGUCCUUCGGGACUGCUGUGGAGGUGCUGCAUGGUUGUCGUCAGCUCGUGCCGUGAGGUGUCGGCUUAAGUGCCAUAACGAGCGCAACCCCUCUCUUCAGUUGCCAUCACUUCGGGUGGGCACUCUGGAGACACUGCCACCGUAAAGGUGUGAGGAAAGGUGGGGAUGACGGUCAAAUCAGCACGGCCGCUUACGUCCGGGGCUACACACGUGUUACAAUGGGUGGUACAGAGCGUCGGCCGCCGGCAACGUCGGUCCAAUCGUGAAAUCCAUCCUCAGUUCGGACUGGGGUCUGCAACCCGACCCCACGAAGCUGGAUUCGCUAGUAAUCGCGCAUCAGCCAUGGCGCGGUGAAUACGUUCCCGGGCCUUGUACACACCGCCCGU
rnacentral:rRNA from 1 species